UACGGAGGGGGCUAGCGUUGCUCGGAAUCACUGGGCGUAAAGCGCACGUAGGCGGCUUGUUAAGUCAGGGGUGAAAUCCUGGAGCUCAACUCCAGAACUGCCUUUGAUACUGGCGAUCUUGAGUCCGGGAGAGGUGAGUGGAACUGCGAGUGUAGAGGUGAAAUUCGUAGAUAUUCGCAAGAACACCAGUGGCGAAGGCGGCUCACUGGCCCGGUACUGACGCUGAGGCGCGAAAGCGUGGGGAGCAAACAGG
rnacentral:rRNA from 1 species